GUGCUUGCUUCAGCACCAUAUAUACUAAAAUUGAAAUGACACAGAGAUUAGUAUGGCCCCUGCACAAGGAUGACAUGCGAAUUUGUGAAGCAUUCAGUUUUUUU
ensembl:snRNA U6 U6 spliceosomal RNA